rnacentral:rRNA from 1 species
AGUGAACGCUGGCGGUAGGCCUAACACAUGCAAGUCGAGCGGCAGCACAGGAGAGCUUGCUCUCUGGGUGGCGAGUGGCGGACGGGUGAGGAAUACAUCGGAAUCUACUCUGUCGUGGGGGAUAACGUAGGGAAACUUACGCUAAUACCGCAUACGACCUACGGGUGAAAGCAGGGGAUCUUCGGACCUUGCGCGAUUGAAUGAGCCGAUGUCGGAUUAGCUAGUUGGCGGGGGAAAGGCCCACCAAGGCGACGAUCCGUAGCUGGUCUGAGAGGAUGAACAGCCACACUGGAACUGAGACACGGUCCAGACUCCUACGGGAGGCAGCAGUGGGGAAUAUUGGACAAUGGGCGCAAGCCUGAUCCAGCCAUACCGGGUGGGUGAAGAAGGCCUUCGGGUUGUAAAGCCCUUUUGUAGGGAAAGAAAUCCAGCUGGCUAAUAACCGGUUGGAAUGACGGUACCCAAAGAAUAAGCACCGGCUAACUUCGUGCCAGCCGCCGCCGUAA